GACGAACGCUGGCGGCGUGCUUAACACAUGCAAGUCGAGCGGUAAGGCUCCUUCGGGAGUACACGAGCGGCGAACGGGUGAGUAACACGUGAGCAAUCUGCCCUUCACAUGGGAAUAACUUCGGGAAACCGAAGCUAAUACCGAAUACGACCACCGGUGGCAUCUUCUGGUGGUGGAAAGUUCCGGCGGUGAAGGAUGAGCUCGCGGCCUAUCAGCUAGUUGGUGAGGAAUGGCCCACCAAGGCGACGACGGGUAGCCGGCCUGAGAGGGUGACCGGCCACACUGGGACUGAGACACGGCCCAGACUCCUACGGGAGGCAGCAGUGGGGAAUAUUGGACAAUGGGCGAAAGCCUGAUCCAGCAACGCCGCGUGAGGGAUGACGGCCUCGG
rnacentral:rRNA from 1 species